rfam:Solanum lycopersicum cultivar Heinz 1706 chromosome 7, whole genome shotgun sequence.
GUUCCUUUGUGAACAUCCGAUAUAAUUGAAACGAUAUAAAGAAUAUACACAUGAUAACUCCUACGCAAAAAUGAGAUGUUUGAAUCAAGAAAUCUUUCAAAUUUUU